rnacentral:rRNA from 1 species
CCUACGGGGGGCUGCAGUGAGGAAUAUUGGUCAAUGGACGAGAGUCUGAACCAGCCAAGUAGCGUGAAGGAUGACUGCCCUAUGGGUUGUAAACUUCUUUUAUAAAGGAAUAAAACGAGGCACGUGUGCCUUUUUGCAUGUACUUUAUGAAUAAGGAUCGGCUAACUCCGUGCCAGCAGCCGCGGUAAUACGGAGGAUCCGAGCGUUAUCCGGAUUUAUUGGGUUUAAAGGGAGCGUAGAUGGGUUGUUAAGUCAGUUGUGAAAGUUUGCGGCUCAACCGUAAAAUUGCAAUUGAUACUGGCAGUCGUGAGUACAGUUGAGGUAGGCGGAAUUCGUGGUGUAGCGGUGAAAUGCUUAGAUAUCACGAAGAACUCCGAUUGCGAAGGCAGCUUACUAAACUGCCACUGACAUUGAUGCUCGAAAGUGUGGGUAUCAAACAGGAUUAGAUACCCGAGUAGUC